UACGUAGGGACCGAGCGUUGUCCGGAAUUACUGGGCGUAAAGAGCUCGUAGGUGGUUUGUCGCGUUGUUCGUGAAAACUCACAGCUUAACUGUGGGCGUGCGGGCGAUACGGGCAGACUGGAGUACUGCAGGGGAGACUGGAAUUCCUGGUGUAGCGGUGGAAUGCGCAGAUAUCAGGAGGAACACCGGUGGCGAAGGCGGGUCUCUGGGCAGUAACUGACGCUGAGGAGCGAAAGCGUGGGGAGCGAACAGGA
rnacentral:rRNA from 1 species